rnacentral:rRNA from 1 species
AUUGAACGCUGGCGGCAGGCCUAACACAUGCAAGUCGAGCGGAUGAAGGGAGCUUGCUCCUGGAUUCAGCGGCGGACGGGUGAGUAAUGCCUAGGAAUCUGCCUGGUAGUGGGGGAUAACGUCCGGAAACGGGCGCUAAUACCGCAUACGUCCUGAUGGAGAAAGUGGGGGAUCUUCGGACCUCACGCUAUCAGAUGAGCCUAGGUCGGAUUAGCUAGUUGGUGGGGUAAAGGCCUACCAAGGCGACGAUCCGUAACUGGUCUGAGAGGAUGAUCGGUCACACUGGAACUGAGACACGGUCCAGACUCCUACGGGAGGCAGCAGUGGGGAAUAUUGGACAAUGGGCGAAAGCCUGAUCCAGCCAUGCCGCGUGUGUGAAGAAGGUCUUCGGAUUGUAAAGAACUUUAAGUUGGGAGGAAGGGCAGUAAGUUAAUACCUUGCUGUUUUGACGUUAACAACAGAAUAAGCACCGGCUAACUUCGUG